UUGUCUGAAACCAGGGAGUCCAUCUUUUAUGCUCUUCCAUUGACUUAUCUCCCUUGGGUAAGAUCUCAAACAUGUCAGCUCCCAGUGAUGGUUUGGCAGACAAAUGUUUACAGUGAAGUUUGUGACUUUAAUAAUCUAGGAUGAGCAUGUGGGCUAUCCCAGCCUUAUACAUCUACAUAUUACAAACUAUUUAAGAUAUCUGAAUGCACUAAAGACCAAAAUAGCAUUUCCAAAAAAAAUAAUUACUGCCAAGAAAUUUGACAAUCAUGACAAUAAUUUAGUGAAUAAACAUGAUAAAUAUUGAUUGGAAAAAUAAGUCCAUGAACAGCAAAAAGUGUUUUCAACGAGCAAAACAAAAGUAUUCUAAACCAUUCUUCGUAAAAAAAAAGUGAGCAAGUGGAACCACCUUGCUCGCACCAAAAUUGAGAUUGAGAGUGUCAAAACUGCUCUGGCGCACCAUCAAUAAAUCAACGACACUCUCUCUACCGUGGUAUUGAAACCAGCAUUGGUAACCAAACAUAUUCAUACAGAUACAGACUACCAGUCAUCUACAUUUAGGAAGUCUAAAUAAUACUGAAAACUAUGGUGUAGAAUUUCCAACAGGACUCCUUAUUUUAUAUAAGACAAGGAGUGGUUUAUUUUCCCAUGGUUGUUACAUCAUCUUGUCUUUGAAUAUGCUCGAAGUACAGGGACUUUUAUGGAAUUCAUUGACAUGAUAGUCAAGCAAGAUGUCAACAUCUCCUCCAACCCUCUUCCAGCAAAGCCAAAGCUGACCAAGGAUCUUCACCCUUUCAAAACAGGCUGUAUACAGGACGAGUUAUUCCAGUAGGAACAGGGCUAUAUAUAUGCAAGCAAUGCUCAAUUAAGAUGAAUUUUUGUAAAAGUGACAAUAGCCAGGUCAAACUAAGUACAUGUAUAGAAGAAGAUAUUGAUCUAGACUCGCAGCUAACCUUUCUGUCAGUGGCAACAACAACUGAACUUUCACAGCAGUCAACAUCAGAUUGGGAGACUGAUAAUGCUUCUAACAGAAACAAUUUCAACCAACCAAACAAGCAACAGAAACUUUCUAACUUUAAAACAUCAGUUAAAUCUUCCAUGGGAUGAUGUCUCAAAAAAUAACAGUUCAUCAUUUAUGGAGAUUUUAAUGUUAUGGUUUUUCUUUUACAAGAAAGUUAAUGUACACUUGUUUUAUAGUAAAACCUAUAGCCGUUCAAGUAUAAAAAAACACAUUCAACAUUAUUGAAAUUUGAAGAUUCAUAUGACUUAUUUUAAUUCUGUUAUCUCCAAGGAUGUGAUGUAAAGCAUUAUAGGUACAGAAAUCUUAACAGCUAUCCAAUUUCAUUCAAAAUUCUUUAUAAAUUUUGUACUGGUAUAUAUAGACUAAGUAAUUUGUUUUUCGUCUAGUUAUGGGAUUUUUUUUUUAGAAGCAUUUAUGAUUUUCAUGUUUGUAUUGACCACAUUGCAGCAACAUAGAUAUAGGUACCUGGCAAAUCUUGCCUUGUUAGCAUACUAGGCUCAAAGGGUCAUAGAAAAAUUUCCAUCACUAAGUGUCUGUUAAAAUCAUCUGUUUACAGUUUUCACUUUUAAACCAUCAUCUUAAUAACUUUAGAAGAAGUGUCAUACAUAUAUAUAUGUAUACAAAAUUUAAAAGCUUUUCAAUAUAUAUAUAUAUAUAUAUAUAUAAACAAGUCUAAAUUGAAAACAACGUUCAAACCUAUGAUUGCGUUGGAUAAAAACCGCAAUUUUUAUACGUGUGCAUGCAAAACAAAUUUCUUUGUAGAGGGGUCUAAAUA